AGGUACUCCGGGGAUAACAGGCUGAUACCGCCCAAGAGUUCAUAUCGACGGCGGUGUUUGGCACCUCGAUGUCGGCUCAUCACAUCCUGGGGCUGAAGUAGGUCCCAAGGGUAUGGCUGUUCGCCAUUUAAAGUGGUACGCGAGCUGGGUUUAGAACGUCGUGAGACAGUUCGGUCCCUAUCUGCCGUGGGCGCUGGAGAACUGAGGGGGGCUGCUCCUAGUACGAGAGGACCGGAGUGGACGCAUCACUGGUGUUCGGGUUGUCAUGCCAAUGGCACUGCCCGGUAGCUAAAUGCGGAAGAGAUAAGUGCUGAAAGCAUCUAAGCACGAAACUUGCCCCGAGAUGAGUUCUCCCUGACUCCUUGAGAGUCCUGAAGGAACGUUGAAGACGACGACGUUGAUAGGCCGGGUGUGUAAGCGCAGCGAUGCGUUGAGCUAACCGGUACUAAUGAACCGUGAGG
rnacentral:rRNA from 2 species